rnacentral:tRNA from 1 species
GGGAAUGUAGCUCAGUGUUAGAGCACUUGCCUAGCACACAUGUGGCCCUGGGUUUGAUCCCCAGCAGUACAA